GGAAAAACGAAGCAAAAUUCAAAGAAAUGGAGCGACUCAAAGAGUGUGUAGAAGAGCUACUGAGCUUCACUCUAAACUCUCACAUAAACCAAACCCUAGGCUUCGACCUCGGCCUCUCCAGCCAAUUCUGCUCCAACCUCCUCCUCCGUGAAGCGAACGACGCUGUUUCAGUCGCCACCGAUGUUGUUGAUUUCGAUCAAGAUUCACUCCAAGGAGUUCCGUUAUGUCCUCUAUACAAACGACUGGCUUUAGCUUUGGUUCGUUCGGUGAGUUGUAGGGCGUUUUGUCGGACGUAUAAUUACGGCGUUUUGGUUCAUGGAGAUGGUUUGCUGAAACAGAGAGAAGACGAGUGGAGUGAAUUGAUUCUGAAUAAGGGAGCUGAAUUGAUCAAUAUUUUGAAGACGGUAGACUUUGAACUUGAUGUUCAGGAACCCUUCUUUUCAUUGAUAAAAGAUGGCCUGAAAACAGUUGAGGGAAGGUGUGCAAUGGAUGAUUACAAUAGACUUCGACCAGGCUCAAUGGUUCUGUUAAAUAAAUGUAUAAUGCUUGAAGUUCAGCUUCACUUUUGUAAUUUCAUUAAUUGGCAGACUGUUCGCCAUUGUGCUUCAUUUUCAGAGUUGUUAGAAGCAGAGACUCUUGCGAAAGUCCUUCCUGGAGUUAAAACUGUUGAAGAAGGUAUGGAAAUUUAUAGCAAGUUUUAUGUGGAGGAGAAGGAAAGGCUCAAUGGUGUCCUUGCAAUAUGUGUUUCUAAAAUGGCUACUCAACCUUACAUUACACUGGCAACUAUACUGUCUGUGAGUUGCUUACUUACUGCAGUAUUUUGUUUUUUGUUUCAUCCGUUGGUAGGUUAAUUUCAUGUUUUUGAUUCCGGGACUUGGUUAUGAGGGCAUUCAAAGCCUUUUGGGUCUUGCACAUACUCCUGGAACGAUUUCGGAUGCACUCCCCCCACCAAGAUCAACUCUUCUGUCAUCAUUCUUGUUGCCAUUUAAACCAAAUGUAGUACCUUAACUCAAGGAGCCAGGGCCUUGGCAAAGCAUGUUAAUAGGAGCAGCAACAGAUACUGGGGUAUUUUUAAUGGAAGUGAUUUAAAACAACCAUAGGAAUGUGAAGAAUGCAGUUCUUCUUUGGAGGUCACUCUUGAGGUUUUGGAUUGCAUAUUGAAAGAUGGUAAUGGAGGUUUGGGCCAUCAAUUGGAAUUCCUGUACAUUAAUAUUAAAUUCUGACAAAAAUAGGCUUGCAAUGGAUGUCAUUUGUCGUUUAAUAGCCCAUUGUUGCUGGUUGAAUGUGCACAUUGUUCAACCUCAUGGGAUUGUCUUUGAGAUAAGAGUAGCUGAUGGUUAUGGUGCACGGUGGUCCAAAGAUGGAACCAAGUUCAUUGGAUUUCUUGAGCCAUACAUGGAAGAUGGUCACUCCAAGGGAUGGAAGCAUUAGAUUGACUUUGGAUAGUUUUGUACUGAUUUUGUUGAUUUAUGCACUUCUUCUAAGACACAUGAGAAAUGAUGGACUAAUUUCUCUGAUUGUUUGGGAAGAGAAAAUGUCUGUAGACAGCUUUCUUCACACAAAAAGGCCCAGGUUACAUGAUUUACCAGUUAUUAUGGCUAUAAUAAUUUAAUGAUGUGUUGCCACCGCCACUGGUAGCUUUAUCUUUAGUCCAUAGUUGUCACCACCAACAUGGAAGGAUGAGAACGAUAUGUAAUUUGAGCUCAAACAGUCUAUCUGUGCUCCUUUUUCCUUUCAGGAAAAGAAAAUGGCGGUGGUGUGGGGGGGAGGGGGUAUGUAAUUUACCCCUAUCACCAACCUGUUUUAUUACUAUAUGGUUAAUCCUCUUAUAAUUAAUAUAUAUGCU